GAAAUGCGAUAAGUAAUGUGAAUUGCAGAAUUCAGUGAAUCAUCGAAUCAUUGAACGCACAUUGCGCCCGCCAGUAUUCUGGCGGGCAUGCCUGUCCGAGCGUCAUUUCAACCAUCAAGCCCCCGGGCUUGUGUUGGGGACCUGCGGCUGCCCGCAGGCCCUGAAAACCAGUGGCGGGCUCGCUGUCACACCGAGCGUAGUAGCAAUCACCUCGCUCAGGGCGUGCUGCGGGUUCCGGCCGUUAAACAGCCUUACAAAACCCAAGGUUGACCUCGGAUCAGGUAGGAAGACCCGCUGAACUUAAGC
rnacentral:misc_RNA from 1 species